rnacentral:rRNA from 1 species
UCCUACAACAUAGUGUUAAUCAUCGGAUCCCAUUAGUACUCCAUAGUUAAGGCCGCUCAGGCUAGAGUGGUACUAGGAUGGGUGAUCACUCGGGAAGUCAUAGUGUAUUAC